rnacentral:rRNA from 1 species
UACGUAGGGUGCAAGCGUUGUCCGGAAUUAUUGGGCGUAAAGAGCUCGUAGGCGGUGUGUCGCGUCGGCCGUGAAAACCUGCAGCUUAACUGUGGGCUUGCGGUCGAUACGGGCAUCACUGGAGUUCGGCAGGGGAGACUGGAAUUGCUGGUGUAGCGGUGAAAUGCGUAGAUAUCAGGAGGAACACCGGUGGCGAAGGCGCUCAUCUGGCCCAAUACUGACGCUGAGGCGCGAAAGCUAGGGGGAGCAAACGGG